rnacentral:lncRNA from 12 species
CUAGGGAUGGGCCUGGUGAUGGGGCUUUUUCAAGCUCACAGAUAAUUCUAAUGUAUAACCUGGGCUGAGACUCUGCUGUGAGUGCAGAAGAAAGAGCUGGCCAUAUUUAAGCGAAAUUGGGAAUUGCUGAACAUUGCAGAGAGAGACAGAGAGAGAGAGCCCAACCAGAUACCAAGAGGGAAGUAUCUCAGCGAAUCUGCCUCCAGCUAGUGACUGUUUUUUUACCUUCUUCUGUUCUUGGAGUUGUCCAUUUAUCUCCCACUUCCAGACCUGGAGCCUCGCCUCCUGUUUUUCAGACCCAAACUUCGCAUCAUCGUUGACAGCCCUGAGGACCCCUCCACCCAGCACUCCCCCAAGCAGAGUAGCUCCGAGGCACACUCAGAAGCAACUUGGAAAGAAGUUGAAGAGGAGAUGGUACCAUGUGAAGUCAUUGCUGCUGUCAAACCCAGAAGAGAUGUCCUGCAUCAUCACUGACACGUCUUCAGGCCUCUCUACUGCUGAUUACCAAGUCAGUGGAGCUCACGUGAUGGUGAAGGGGGACGCUGGAUAAUUGUCAGAGACUCAAGACAUUGGCACAGACCCUCUCUGCAUGAGCACAUGACACCACCAAUGGGAAAGAGCAGGAGUUCUGGGAAGAUAUCCAAGGGACCUGAGGGAAGCAAAGUUUCUUCAGACAGCUCAGAGUAGGCUGUGGCCUCCUGAACCUUCUGUCCCACAGUUGGUAAGUAGUGGUGUUAAUGCUCAUUCCAGACAGACAAGACCUUACCUCUCCCCACACCAGCCAUUCUGAAUCCAUCUGAGGUUUUCAUUUAUUUUUCACUUUGAACAAACAUUCUGUGCUAAAUGAACAGGUGCACAUGGGCUGUCUGGUUU